UAGCCGACCCGACCCGACCGACCCUGUUCUUCUUCUCUAUCGUCAAUCACUCAGAAACGCCGCAUUAAUCAAGAAAACUCGGAAAAAAGCCACGUCUCCUUUUGCUGCAACGCCCCAUACUCGUCCCGUCCCUUUUUCCCUCUUUUUUCGCUGAGUUUCAGAGAAAAAUACAACUCUCCAUCCCUCUUUACUGUUGCCUCGAAAAAGAACGAAUAAAUUUCAAAAUCAAACGAGUUUUCUCCCUAAACCAACCCCAAAUUCCUCUAUAUAAACAUCCAUCUUCUUUAGUGUUGAGGGGAGAAAAUCGGGGGCAAAAAAGAAUUUGUUGUGGGAAAAAGUAGAGACAGAAAACAAGGGGAUUUUGAAGUAUUGAUCUUUGUUACUCAAAAACAAGAGCAUUUUAGGUGGAAUACUCUAUCAAAAACAUAGAGGAAUUUUCAGUUUUUUCUCCUCUUUCUCGGAGCAAUUUUGCUCGCCGGAGCUCAUUGGAAUCGAUUCAGGUGGUGGAAGUUCCUCAAGGUUUAGCUCAUCGUCCUAAAGCGUUGUUCCAAGAAAGCCUUCUGAGUCCAUGGAGGACUUCUCUCUUGCAUUCUCGAGCUGAGACAUAGAGGAUUGAAUUUUGUUUGAGUCAGCCUCUUAAAUGUUCAAAGAAAUUGGAAGCUGAGACAGGUCCCAAAAAUACCCAAAAAUGGUUGUAUACAUUCAUUAUUCAUCGAUAUAAAGGUCGAAAAAGGUGAAAUUAUAGGGUUGAGGCAAAAUACAGGUGUUCGGAAGUAAGAAAUACAUGGAAAUAGCUGGUAUACAUGCCGAUAUACACUUAUAUACAGACAAUGUAUACAAUAACGGGAUUGGGUUAAAACCCAAAAAAUUGCAGCGAAAUUGGCCCAAUAGGGGCCCAAUUUCACCACCUCUUUCACUCUCAUAAUUGUUUUGAUUAUGUUGACUAAUGUUAUUUUACUCUAACUUUAGAACUGAUAAUUAACUUACUUAAAUCCCCUAAAAGAUGAGUUAUUUUUCUUUA